GUACCCAUAGCUCAGUAGGUAGAGCGCCUGGUUGUGGUCCAGGAGGUCGCCGGUUCAAACCCGGUUGGGUACC
rnacentral:tRNA from 1 species